UACGUAGGUGGCAAGCGUUAUCCGGAUUUAUUGGGCGUAAAGGGAACGCAGGCGGUCUUUUAAGUCUGAUGUGAAAGCCUUCGGCUUAACCGGAGUAGUGCAUUGGAAACUGGGAGACUUGAGUGCAGAAGAGGAGAGUGGAACUCCAUGUGUAGCGGUGAAAUGCGUAGAUAUUAGGAGGAACACCAGUGGCGAAGGCGGCUUACUGGACUGUAACUGACGCUGAGGCUCGAAAGCGUGGGUAGCGAACAGG
rnacentral:rRNA from 1 species